rnacentral:rRNA from 1 species
CAGUAGCCACGGUAAUACAGAGGGUGCGAGCGUUAAUCGGAUUUACUGGGCGUAAAGCGUGCGUAGGCGGCUUUUUAAGUCGGAUGUGAAAUCCCUGAGCUUAACUUAGGAAUUGCAUUCGAUACUGGGAAGCUAGAGUAUGGGAGAGGAUGGUAGAAUUCCAGGUGUAGCGGUGAAAUGCGUAAAGAUCUGGAGGAAUACCGAUGGCGAAGGCAGCCAUCUGGCCUAAUACUGACGCUGAGGUACGAAAGCAUGGGGAGCAAACAGGAUUAGAUACCCCGGUAGUCCCUGUCUCUUAUAA